UUAGAUUUCGUUUUGCAUUUAAGUUUGAGGCAACAGCAUUGCGGCUGCCUCUGACCGCAGCAUACAGAAAACAACACCAUAAAAAAAAAAAAAAAAAAUAACAUUCCCCUCUCAACAAUCAAAUUGGAGGAGCGAGCAGAGACAAUUAAACCGCGUCCCAACUGAGUAUAAAUCCAGCCCGUAGUUGAGCUGUCAAAUUUUUCAUCCACCCAAAAACAUCAAUCUGUACUACAAACGCAAAUAUAUUUCAACAAUUCUUAGUAAAUAUUUAUAUGCAAA